UACUCCUACGGGAGGCAGCAGUGGGGAAUAUUGGACAAUGGGCGAAAGCCUGAUCCAGCAAUGCCGCGUGAGUGAUGAAGGCCUUAGGGUUGUAAAGCUCUUUUAUCUCCGGGAAUGAUAAUGACUGUACCGGGAGAAUAAGCUCCGGCUAACUCCGUGCCAGCAGCCGCGGUAAUAC
rnacentral:rRNA from 1 species